rnacentral:rRNA from 1 species
GUGUCAGCCGCCGCGGUAAAACGUAGGAGGCGAGCGUUAUCCGGAUUUACUGGGCGUAAAGCGCACGCAGGUGGCAAUGCAAGUCGGACAUGAAAGCUCCUGGCUUAACUGGGAGAGGUGGUUCGAAACUGCAUAGCUUGAGGUUGGGAGAGGGACGUGGAAUUCCCGGUGUAGUGGUGGAAUGCGUAGAUAUCGGGAGGAACACCAGUGGCGCAAGCGGCGUCCUGGCCCACACCUGACGCUGAGGUGCGAAAGCGUGGGUAGCAAACAGGAUUAGAAACCCUGGUAGUCC